rnacentral:SRP_RNA from 1 species
GCUGGGCGUGGUGGUGGGUGCCUGUAAUCCCAGCUACUUGGGAAGCUGAGGCAGGAGAAUCGCUUGAACCCAGGAGGCUGAGGCUGCAGUGAGCAGAGAUUGCACCACUGUGCUCCAGCCUGGGCAAUAGAGCGAGACUCUGUCUCAU